rnacentral:rRNA from 1 species
UGGCUCAGAAUGAACGCUGGCGGCAUGGAUUAGGCAUGCAAGUCGAACGGGGUCCUCGGGACCUAGUGGCGAAAGGGUGAGUAACACGUGAGCAAUCUGCCCCCAAGGCCGGAAUAAGCACUGGAAACGGUGUCUAAAACCGGAUGAGGCCUGGAGUCGCAUGACUCCUCAGCCAAAUAUUGAUACCCUGGGGAUGAGCUCGCGGCCCAUUAGCUAGUUGGCGGGGUAACGGCCCACCAAGGCUGCGACGGGUAGGUGGUCUGAGAGGAUGGUCACCCACACUGGGACUGAGACACUGCCCAGACUCCUACGGGAGGCUGCAGUCGAGAAUCUUCCGCAAUGGGCGCCAAGCCUGACGGAGCGAUGCCGCGUGAGGGACGAAGGCCUUCGGGUCGUAAACCUCUGUCACCGGGGACGAAUUCAUGACGGUACCCGGAAAGGAAGCCACGGCUAACCACGUGCCAGCCGCCGC